rnacentral:misc_RNA from 1 species
AAGUCGUAACAAGGUUUCCGUAGGUGAACCUGCGGAAGGAUCAUUAACACGUAUCCAAACGUUAAAGCCCCCUGUGAACCUUCAGUCGUACUCGUACGUCCGUUAGAAAAAGCAGCAAUCCCUGAGUCGAUUAGGGACGUCUGCAAGGAGCGUGCAUGUUGUGCGUGUAAGUGGCCUGGCAUCCCCAAGCAGUUAGUGUCUGAAAGUGUCACUAACGUUAGUGUCUGAAAGUGUCACUAACAUGUGUAAGGAUGACGCAGUCACGAUCGUUGGAGGCCCACACGGCCGACGACCGGGUCACCGGGUGCAAGCCCCCUUAUCACACCCCUGCUCUAUCUAUGGUGAUCCUGCGGGAAGUCCUGCGGUCGAACGCCGAAACCGAACAACUGUUAACAAUGGAUAUCUUGGUUCUC